rnacentral:rRNA from 1 species
GAUGAACGCUGGCGGCGUGCCUAAUACAUGCAAGUCGAGCGAACGGACGAGAAGCUUGCUUCUCUGAUGUUAGCGGCGGACGGGUGAGUAACACGUGGAUAACCUACCUAUAAGACUGGGAUAACUUCGGGAAACCGGAGCUAAUACCGGAUAAUAUUUUGAACCGCAUGGUUCAAAAGUGAAAGACGGUCUUGCUGUUACUUAUAGAUGGAUCCGCGCUGCAUUAGCUAGUUGGUAAGGUAACGGCUUACCAAGGCAACGAUGCAUAGCCGACCUGAGAGGGUGAUCGGCCACACGGGAACUGAGACACGGUCCAGACUCCUACGGUAGGCAGCAGUAGGGAAUCUUCCGCAAUGGGCGAAAGCCUGACGGAGCAACGCCGCGUGAGUGAUGAAGGUCUUCGGAUCGUAAAACUCUGUUAUUAGGGAAGAACAUAUGUGUAAGUAACUGUGCACAUCUUGACGGUACCUAAUCAGAAAGCCACGGCUAACUACGUG